rnacentral:rRNA from 1 species
AUUGAACGCUGGCGGCAGGCCUAACACAUGCAAGUCGAGCGGAUGAAGGGAGCUUGCGCCUGGAUUCAGCGUCGGACGGGUGAGUAAUGCCUAGGAAUCUGCCUGGUAUGGGUGGAUAACGUCCGGAAACGGGCGCUAAUACCGCAUACGUCCUGAGGGAGAAGGUGGGGGGGCUUCGGACCUCACGCGAUGAUAUGAGCCUAGGUCGGAUUGGCUAGUUGGUGGGUUAAAUGCCUGCUAAGGCGACGAUCCGUAACUGGUCUGAGAGGGUGAUCGGUCACCCUGGAACUGAGACACGGUCCAGGCUCCUGAGGGAGGCAGCAGUGGGGAAUAUUGGACAAUAGGCGGAAGCCUGGUACAGCCAUGGCGCGUGUGUGAAGAAGGUCUUCGGAUUGUAAAGAACUUUAAGUUGGGAGGAAGGGCAGUAAGUUAAUACCUUGCUGUUUUGACGUUAACAACAGAAUAAGCACCGGCUAACUUCGUG